UAGGGGAACAGGAAUUGAACCUAUAACUAAGAGAUCAAAACUCUCCGUAAUUCCAUUUUACUACCC
rnacentral:tRNA from 1 species